rfam:Medicago truncatula strain A17 chromosome 7, whole genome shotgun sequence.
UAUUGAGGUGAUGAUGAUACUGAUCCGAAUUUAUAAUGUUGAUCGUUAAAUAUCAGACUACAAUUAUCUGAUCAAUU